CCCCUGACCCUUGAUGGCUCCCCAGAGUGGGGGUCCCAAAGACCCAGCCUGGAGCUGCAGCUUCAUCCACACCAAGCAAGUGAUGGCUUUUGGGGUGAAAGCCCUGAAAUAAACACAAACAAAAGUUCAGGCUCAAACUUGGGUAAGAGCAAGGCUACAGACAGAGACUCAGAGCUGGAAGGCUAACACGGGACACUGGGCCACAGGUAAGGGUGCAGUCACCAAAGAUGGCACAAGAAAAAGGCAACCAGGGAGGACUGAGUUCACUCCAAGUGGUACGGAAAGCUGGAAAAGGAAGGUCAGAGGUAGCAGGAACAGAAGCAGAGUCUUCAGAGGUGACUGGAGGGUGAGUAAGAAGGAGAGGAUGGUCAGUUCCCAGUGAAUCAUGCAACAGAAGUGUCAAACUGGAAAAAAGACCCUGGGAACUCUUUAAGGGAGCAUGUCAGUGGAGCAGGGCAGAAGGCUCAGAGGGUGGGUGAGGGCAGGAGAAAGCAGCCACCUCCUUCUCUUUGGGGAAGUUUGGCUAGGAUGGGAAGGAGAAGCUGAAUUGAGAAGAUGUGGUACUUAGAGGAGGAGAGAUCUGAGCAUGCUGGGUGGACGGAGAGGAGGGAAUGUCUGAAGCAUCCAGAAGCAAAAGAAGUAAGAUUGCAGGAUGGGUGGCCUGAAAAUCUGGGCACCAAUGUUCAUAGAGCUGACCCUGGAAGAAUGCCAGGCUCCUGGCUAGGGAGUCAUGGUCUUUGCCUUCCUUGACUGCAGAAGACAACUUGGAGGAGGAGGCUUCUGAUCAUUCUUACUGGGAGGGGGCAGGACUAUGGGCCAAAGGAUGGGCGGGGGCUAAACCAAAUAUGCAGGCAGGCUCCACAGAGGAAAUGGAGACGGACCCAUGUGGAGUAGAAGGAAUCAGAGGAGUAGCCAGACAUCCUCUUCUCCAGGCUCCUUGGCACAGAGCUGGGCACAUGAACAACCCUGAGGAGCAGCUGCCCAAUGGGCCAGAAGAGAGGGAUAGGCUCUGCCUGCAUGCCACGCCGCUGGAAAGAUAAGGAAACUGAGAUACAGAAAGGUGAAGUACUUGCUUGAUGUCACACCACUGUUAACACAAAUCUCAUCACAGAACGAUUGAAUGCAGACGCAGCGCCGUUUGAACACCAAGCAGCAGAAAAGCACCACUGCAGUGGGAUGCCUGAAGCUCUGAGUGGAACGGUCACCGGGUUGAAACCGCCGGGGGAAAUUUGCGGGAGGCCUGGGUAGUCUCAUGCAGAGGAAAAACUCAGUGGGUCUCUUCCUAAAACCUGAGAACAGCAUUCUGGAGAAUAACCCUAAUUUUGGGUGCUAGCCCUCUCUGGAAAUAUUCAAGAUCAUUUGUAAUUGUCUCUGGAACUGAAAGUUCAAAAACAAAACCCUAUAAAUCGGAGGUCUCCCCCACUGUCAUUCCCUUCAUUUUAUUUUAAUUCCAUUGAAAUUUGUUUUAAAGCAUUUCCUACGAUGUAAAAAUGUAGGCAUUUUGGCAAACAUUGAUGCUUUGGACUUGAAUGUAAUCAAAGUGUCAGGGUUAUUUACCUGAACUUACUCAGUUCCAGGUUUUAGAGUUUUUUUCUGGGUCUAAAAUUCCACGAUACUUUUGUAACACGCAUUG